rnacentral:lncRNA from 1 species
UAUUAAAAGAUAGAUGAGAAGAAAAUAUCUAGCUAAUUUCAAUCCUCCCACUGACUUCACCAAGUCAGAUUAAAAAAGAAUUUAAUUAAAGCUGGCAUUAGGAGCACCUAAAUCAGUCAAACUGAUUUACCUAAUGACAUGGGUGAGCCCUAAUCACCAAGUGAUCUAAUCAAAACCUAAUUUACCAGGUUGGUCAGGUAAGUG